rnacentral:misc_RNA from 1 species
AAGUCGUAACAAGGUAACCGUAGGUGAACCUGCGGUUGGAUCAUUAAAGUAUUAGACCGAAAGGUCGCCCGAGAAGAUUAGACCGAAAGGUCGCCCGAGAAGAUUGGGUUCCAGUUUUCUGGAAUCUGAUUCUUGCAACAUUACUAGGAGAUCUGGGGUUGGCUCCUUCGGGGGUCAGCCAAACAUACACACCAUCUGUGAACUUUUUGACUGUCUUUUGGCGGUGCUUGGGGUUCGUGCAGCUUUCAUCAGCUUCACAGCCUGCGCCGCCAGCCAUAUGUUACAACAUGCCGUGCGAUUUCUUGUCUUAAAAUGUAUAUUUUCUAAAUAUCAGAAACAACUUCAGACAAUGGAUCUCUUGGUUCUC